rnacentral:rRNA from 1 species
UACGUAGGGGGCAAGCGUUGUCCGGAUUUAUUGGGCGUAAAGAGCGUGUAGGCGGUCAGGUAGGUCCGUUGUGAAAACUCGAGGCUCAACCUCGAGACGCCGAUGGAAACCAUCUGACUAGAGUCCGGAAGAGGAGAGUGGAAUUCCUGGUGUAGCGGUGAAAUGCGCAGAUAUCAGGAAGAACACCCGUGGCUAAGGCGGCUCUCUAGUACGGUACUGACGCUGAGACGCGAAAGCCGUGGGGAGCGAACAGG